rnacentral:rRNA from 1 species
AUUGAACGCUGGCGGCAUGCCUUACACAUGCAAGUCGAACGGCAGCACGGGUGCUUGCACCUGGUGGCGAGUGGCGAACGGGUGAGUAAUACAUCGGAACGUACCUUAUCGUGGGGGAUAACGCAGCGAAAGCUGUGCUAAUACCGCAUACGCCCUGAGGGGGAAAGCGGGGGAUCGCAAGACCUCGCGCGAUUAGAGCGGCCGAUGCCUGAUUAGCUUGUUGGGGGGGUAAAAGCUCACCAAGGCGAUGAUCAGUAGCUGGUCUGCGAGGACGGUCAGCCACACUGGGACUGAGACACGGCCCAGACACCUGCGGGAGGCAGCAGUGGGGAAUUUUGGACAAUGGGGGCAACCCUGAUCAAGCAAUGCCGCGUGAGUGAAGAAGGCCUUCGGGUUGUAAAGCUCUUGUGUCAGGGAAGAAACAGCAGCUCUAACACAGUCGGCGAAUGACGGUACCUGCAGAAAAAGCACCGGCUAACUACGUGCCAGCCGCCGCCGUAA